AACGACGCAAAACAAGAGAGGGGAGAAGACGUUAAAGACCCCACGGCAUCAGUCGGAAAUGUUAACGCGUGUUGUUCGCCCUCGUCUCGCCGUCCAUAUAUAUAAACCCGCUGUUAGAAAUUACCUCCAUUUACUAAAUUAUCGCACUAUAUAUAUAUAUAACAUAUAUCAUACAGGAGGGGUAAUUUUUUUUCUAAUGUGAUAAAUGCGGGCUCUUACCCCGCGACACAAUGCCCGCCUGUGUGUGUGUGCUCUUGCCCUGGAUCCCACGUGCACGCGCGCAUACGCACGCGCCUGCCACGGCGAGCGCUUGAAGACACGGUCUCUAUGGAGCGCUUGAAGACACGGUUUCUAUGGAGCGCUUGUAGACACGGUCUGUAUGGAGCGCUUGAAUACAGGGCUCCAUGGAGUGCUUGAAGACACGGUCUCUAUGGAGCGCUUGAAGACACGGUCCACAUGGAGCACUUGAAGACACGAUCUCUAUGGAGCGCUUGAAUACAAGGUCUCUAUGGAGCGAGCCACUGGUGUACGUCAUGCUCGCCGUGGUACCAGUUCCUUACGCCCAUAAUCCUGACGCCGUGCCGGCCUCGAAGCGUUCCGGAAAACAUCGAGCGAAAAAUCGAAGCCCCGCCCGUGUGUAUCAACAACAAGCAUUUUACGGGUGGCGCGGUUCCGAAAAGGGGAAGUUUGUCUUUCGUUGGCAACAAGAAUAGCGGCCGAGCGGAGAAGUUGCCGUUGAGUUUUGGCGGACGAUUGAAUUAAAUGUCAUGGAAGUGCUUCUACGUCGUCUGUCAUUCACUACCCUUCACAUUUUUUCUCCAAAGAAACAUAUCCCCCCGUGUAGCCUUAACAAAUUUUUGGGGCAAGUGCUGUUUAACGAGCACCUAACAAGGUCAACGCGGCACACGAAGGGGUUGGUGGCCAGCCCCACGCUCCCGGCCGCCUUUGUCUCCCCAGUGGUCAUAUUUACACACCGCACCAGGUACUAACUUGAGGCUGAGUCGACCUAGGGGAGGCCCAGGACCGUCACAGAUAAUCGCCGCUGAUCUUGGCCGUGAGCGGUAAUUGAACUCGGGUCGCGGGUUGUAUUUGGAUUGCCAACCAACAACUCUACUCUCCUUUUGUAUCUGGAUUGUCAAUCAACAUCGAGUAAAACAUCAACAAGAUGCACCAAAUAGUGAUAGGUUUUUACCCUUUCAACUGGUACAAAAACUGACACCUUUAUACAAGGCAUCAUGUUUGCAAUAACCACAACACAAGCAGUCAAAAUGCAAACAAAAAGA